GCCUCUGCUUAUCAAGGACCAACUCAUUCUGAUUGGUGUCUAUUGAAGCAAAGAGCUGCUCUCGCCUGCCGGGACCUGAUUUGGGGAAAGUGGUCAUUUGCUCCCACCCACAUUUGUACUACUACUCCUUGAUGGUGCUGGCUGGCCAGGAUAAAACCACUCUGAGAUGACACAAUUGAUGCGGGCCAGCAAGGAAGGAAAUCACCAUACUUCAGACUAUUUACUGCUACCCUUUAC